AGCGAACGCUGGCGGCAGGCCUAACACAUGCAAGUCGAACGAGACCUUCGGGUCUAGUGGCGGACGGGUGAGUAACACGUGGGAACGUGCCUUUAGGUUCGGAAUAACUCAGGGAAACUUGUGCUAAUACCGAAUGUGCCCUUCGGGGGAAAGAUUUAUCGCCUUUAGAGCGGCCCGCGUCUGAUUAGCUAGUUGGUGAGGUAAUGGCUCACCAAGGCUACGAUCAGUAGCUGGUCUGAGAGGAUGGCCAGCCACAUUGGGACUGAGACACGGCCCAAACUCCUACGGGAGGCAGCAGUGGGGAAUCUUGCGCAAUGGGCGAAAGCCUGACGCAGCCAUGCCGCGUGAAUGAUGAAGGUCUUAGGAUUGUAAAAUUCUUUCACCGGGGACGAUAAUGACGGUACCCGGAGAAGAAGCCCCGGCCAACUUCGUGCCAGCAGCCGCCGUAAUAC
rnacentral:rRNA from 1 species